CAUUACCGAGUUUACAACUCCCAAACCCCUGUGAACAUACCAAUUGUUGCCUCGGCGGAUCAGCCCGCUCCCGGUAAAACGGGACGGCCCGCCAGAGGACCCCCAAACUCUGUUUCUAUAUGUAACUUCUGAGUAAAACCAUAAAUAAAUCAAAACUUUCAACAACGGAUCUCUUGGUUCUGGCAUCGAUGAAGAACGCAGCAAAAUGCGAUAAGUAAUGUGAAUUGCAGAAUUCAGUGAAUCAUCGAAUCUUUGAACGCACAUUGCGCCCGCCAGUAUUCUGGCGGGCAUGCCUGUUCGAGCGUCAUUUCAACCCUCAAGCCCAGCUUGGUGUUGGGACUCGCGAGUCAAAUCGCGUUCCCCAAAUUGAUUGGCGGUCACGUCGAGCUUCCAUAGCGUAGUAGUAAAACCCUCGUUACUGGUAAUCGUCGCGGCCACGCCGUUAAACCCCAACUUCUGAAUGUUGACCUCGGAUCAGGUAGGAAUACCCGCUGAACUUAAGCAUAUCAAUGUAACGGCGAGUGAAGCGGCAACAGCUCAAAUUUGAAAUCUGGCUCUCGGGCCCGAGUUGUAAUUUGUAGAGGAUACUUUUGAUGCGGUGCCUUCCGAGUUCCCUGGAACGGGACGCCAUAGAGGGUGAGAGCCCCGUCUGGUUGGAUGCCAAAUCUCUGUAAAGUUCCUUCGACGAGUCGAGUAGUUUGGGAAUGCUGCUCUAAAUGGGAGGUAUAUGUCUUCUAAAGCUAAAUACCGGCCAGAGACCGAUAGCGCACAAGUAGAGUGAUCGAAAGAUGAAAAGCACUUUGAAAAGAGAGUUAAAAAGUACGUGAAAUUGUUGAAAGGGAAGCGUUUAUGACCAGACUUGGGCUUGGUUAAUCAUCUGGGGUUCUCCCCAGUGCACUUUUCCAGUCCAGGCCAGCAUCAGUUUUCCCCGGGGGAUAAAGACUUCGGGAAUGUGGCUCUCUUCGGGGAGUGUUAUAGCCCGUUGUGUAAUACCCUGGGGGGGACUGAGGUUCGCGCAUCUGCAAGGAUGCUGGCGUAAUGGUCAUCAACGACCCGUCUU
rnacentral:rRNA from 1 species